GACAGAAAGGGCAAGCGUUGCUCGGAAUCACUGGGCGUAAAGGGCGCGUAGGCGGGAUGGCAAGUCAAUCAUGAAAUCCUUCGGCUCAACCGAAGAACGUCGGCCGAAACUGCCAUUCUUGAGGGAUGCAGAGGAGACUGGAAUUCCCGGUGUAGCGGUGAAAUGUGUAGAGAUCAAAAAGAACACCAAUAACGAAGGCAAAUCUCUGGGCAUCUCCUAACACUGAAACGCGAAAACAUAAAAAGCAAACAGG
rnacentral:rRNA from 1 species